UGGGGAAUUUUGGACAAUGGGGGCGACCCUGAUCCAGCCAUUCCGCGUGAGUGAAGAAGGCCUUCGGGUUGUAAAGCUCUUUCAGCUGGAACGAAACGGUGCGCUCUAACAUAGCGUGCUAAUGACGGUACCAGCAGAAGAAGCACCGGCUAACUACGUGCCAGCAGCCGCGGUAAUACGUAGGGUGCGAGCGUUAAUCGGAAUUACUGGGCGUAAAGCGUGCGCAGGCGGAUUGAUAAGCAAGAUGUGAAAUCCCCGGGCUUAACCUAUGAAUGGCAUUUUGAACUGGCAGUCUAGAGUUCGUCAGAGAGGGGUUGAAGUCCACGUGUAGCAGUGAAAUGCGUAGAGAUGUGGAGGAACACCAAUGGCGAAGGCAGCCCCCUGGGAUGACACUGACGCUCAUGUACGAAAGCGUGGGUAGCAAACA
rnacentral:rRNA from 1 species